UACGUAGGGGGGCAAGCGUUUGUCCGGAAUCAUUGGGCGUAAAAGCGCGCGUAGGCGGCCCGGUAAGUCCGCUCUGAAAGUCCAAGGCUCAACCUUGGGAUGCGGGUGGAUACUGCCGGGCUAGAGUCCGGAAGAGGCGAGUGGAAUUCCUGGUGUAGCGGUGGAAUGCGCAGAUAUCAGGAGGAACACCGAUAGCGAAGGCA
rnacentral:rRNA from 1 species